rnacentral:rRNA from 1 species
GACGAACGCUGGCGGCGUGCUUAACACAUGCAAGUCGAACGGAAAGGCCCUGCUUUUGUGGGGUGCUCGAGUGGCGAACGGGUGAGUAACACGUGAGUAACCUGCCCUUGACUUUGGGAUAACUUCAGGAAACUGGGGCUAAUACCGGAUAGGAGCUCCUGCUGCAUGGUGGGGGUUGGAAAGUUUCGGCGGUUGGGGAUGGACUCGCGGCUUAUCAGCUUGUUGGUGGGGUAGUGGCUUACCAAGGCUUUGACGGGUAGCCGGCCUGAGAGGGUGACCGGCCACAUUGGGACUGAGCUACGGCCCAGACUCCUACGGUAGGCAGCAGUGGGGAAUAUUGCACAAUGGGCGGAAGCCUGAUGCGGCAACGCCGCGUGCGGGAUGACGGCCUUCGGGUUGUAAACCGCUUUCGCCUGUGACGAAGCGUGAGUGACGGUAAUGGGUAAAGAAGCACCGGCUAACUACGUG